AUGCAAUGCUGAACGAUAUAUAUUUGCACGUCAGUCUGAUCCCUUUAUA
rnacentral:sRNA from 1 species